GAGUUUGAUCCUGGCUCAGGACGAACGCUGGCGGCGUGCCUAAUACAUGCAAGUCGAGCGGGUUUAUCCUUCGGGAUAAGCUAGCGGCGGACGGGUGAGUAACACGUAGGUAACCUGCCUUUAAGACUGGGAUAACUAUCGGAAACGAUAGCUAAGACCGGAUAACUGGUUUUCUCGCAUGAGAGAAUCAUAAAACACGGAGUAAUCUGUGACUUGAAGAUGGGCCUGCGCGCAUUAGCUAGUUGGUGAGG
rnacentral:rRNA from 1 species